AAAAUUUCGAUUUCUUUACGAAAUUGCUACCUUUCAGAGUGCACGUGUCGACCAUCGUAGAAAGGGUGGGGGAUGGAAGCAAACCCGAUUUUGUUCCAGAGAUCUCUUCGACAACAAACUCAUUUUGCUCCAGAGCUCUUCAACGACAAAGUCGAUUCGGCGUCUCACCGUUUCACACCUCGCCUUCCCCUCGCCGUCGCACACCUUGCCUUACCUCGCCACCGCACUUCUUACCAGAACUCGAAUCAAUGCCAAAACUCAUGGAUUAGGCUGAGAGAGAUAUAUAUGGGAUGAUUUAUGGACGAAUUUCAGGGAGAGGUGUGGGAUGGUAGGGAAGGGAAGGGAGAGGGAGCAGUGGGGCUGCCAAAAAGGUGGUUAGGGUUAAUUUUUCUCCUCAAAUUAAUUGUUGGAGUCAGUGAUUGAACAAGCAUUGGUUAGAGGGGAACUUUCAUUUCCUUUGUUUCUAAACCGGAAUAGGGUCGAUGGGACCAUGCUCUGUUGCAUGUUCAAAUAAGUGAUUUUAGGGAUUUGGGGGUAGGGAGAGUGAUUUCAGGGAUUGGUAAUCCCAUCCCGUGUUUUCCCUUCAUCUCUGUCACACUCAACCUCUCUUUAAUCCUUUAUCUUUCACUCCCUUUUAGACUCUUCCUUUCUCCCAACUCUCCAUCUCUCUCAACUUUAGUGCUAACCUUAAUUUGUUCUUUCAUUCCUCAAUUUUCUCCAUCCGAGCAAUGAAAAAUCGAACUGGGUUUUCAGAUUAUUGAUGCUUCACAGACAAAGAAUGGAGAGAGUUAAUUGAGGGAGAUGGUGAGUAUGGGCUUGCACAGAGGGAAGAACGCAGAAAGAGAGAGAGAGAGAGAGGGAGAGAACGAUUGCACAUAGACAAUGAGAGAGUUAGAGAGAGAGAGAUCGCAGAAAGAGGAGGAUGAUGAAAAUUGAAGAGGAACCCAUGUCUGCAGAGAAUGAGACAAAAAAACUACCAAGGAAGAGACUGCUAAGAAAGUAAAACCCAGACUGGAGAAGACAAGCAAUGACGGAGGAACCAAGGCUCUAGAUCUUUGAUAAAAGCACUGACAAUGUCAUCGCUCUUUCCAUUCCUUUAUUUUUGAUUAGGGAUUUGCAUAUUGCUAAAAGAGAGGAAGACAUUGGCUACUGUGCUGGAUAUGUAGAUAUUGAAACAUGCUUAAAUUCACUUGGAAAUUAUUCAUGUCACUGUCCCAAAGGAUACAAACAUGAAGGCAUGGAUGAAAAGAGUUGUAUCAAAGACAACAAAUGGUCAAAGGCCAUUCUCCUCAUUAUUUCAUUAGAUCAAAGAAGGAAGUUCAAUUUAUCAAGGAUCAAGGUUUGAACUACUAGACAUCACGCCGGCUUCGGUUUGAGGUAUAGGUAUAUGUGAACGGCUCACAAGGUUUUUCUGAAUUUGUAGGUCCAGGAUUUAUUUUUGAAAGGAUGAAAUCGUUUGCUGUUGAGGUUCCCGUGCAGAAGAGCGAAAAUGUUGCAAGUGGAAGAUAGAUAACAGCUCAAGACACAUGGUAUGAGGGUGCAGAAUAGUCACGAGCGAAUCUGGUUUAGAGAUUUUGUUUCCAAUCUACAUUCGGUGCCUUGCUCAGAUCGGCUCUGCACUCAUCAUCGACGACUCCGCCUUCACGAAGGACUCCAUAAAUCCCAAGACCAAUAAAGGUAAAGCACGCCCACCUCUUUUUUUCACUCGUUUUCAUGAUCGAAUGUCAAAUGAAGCGACUCUGAUUCAUGCAUGUGUGUAUGGUGUAUUCUAUAAAUGGGCUUCUCAAUUUGUUGUCUGGAUUGAAGAAAAGGUAGAUGGAGCUCUCGAAAAUUUCAGAUCCAAGAAAAGAGAAAGCAUUUUUUGUGUGAAAACCCUAAAAUGGAGACAAAAAAGAAAGGAUGGCAGACAUGAAGAGGGCUUUGGUGCAAGGAUCAGUUGCGGCGACUUUAAAUAAUGAUAGAGGUGAUUUUAGAAGGUUUUUGUGCAAUUUAAGGUAUCUCGGGCUCCAGAAAUUUCUAAUGCACAAGGCUUAGAUCACUUGCCAUCUGCACAUACUUGUGUUUUUAGUUGAUUAGAGUUGAACAUGGAGAAGUUUUUGAGACUUUUAGACAUGUUGGACCUCUCACAGUUGAUGUGGAUUUUUUGAAAGACAAACUGCGAGAAGAUUUGCUUGGCCACUUUGAUCAAUUGAAGUGAUUAGGAAUUAGGACCUUGGUUAUAUCCAACAGUUCACUGCCUAAAUACAAAAUUCAUAUAGACAGUUUCUGGGUGGGUAGCUCACGAUUCCUCGGGCAAGAUUACUCAUUUCGUCUUCAAACGAAGAGAAAAUGGGAUCAACAGUACAUAAAGAUUGGGUGGGUAUCGAAUACUGAAAUUCUGUGUGGGAAGGAAGGAAGUAGAGACCGCCCAAAAAAAAAAGAGAGUAUAUAUGUAUAUAAUGGGUUAGGUGCAAUGCAGAUGGCAAAGGGGUAACAGUGCAAUUUGAGUCCAAAAAAAAAAAAAGCUCAAAUCAAAAGAGGAAGCUACCCGAAAUGGAAAUUGGGAACGUUGGAAUUACAGAGGUUUCAAAACCCACCAAUUCGGAAGCUCAAAUUUCCCACCUUGCUCUCGAUAUUGGAGGUUCCCUGAUAAAGUUAGUGUAUUUCUCAACGAACAGUGACAAUUCGUCUUCUUUGAAUGAUAGCUUAGCAUCUUUUAAUGGCGAUAAAAGGCGUCCUGUUCUUGAAGGGAAGCUCCAUUUCGCAAAGUUUGAAACUUAGAAAAUGAAUGACUGUAUAGACUUCAUUCAGUCUAAGCAACUUCGCCUUACUGGUUAUUCAGUUUCAUCUGGAAUUCAAAGAUCAUUGUUGGAUAUUUCACACGGAAGUAAGAGCUGCCUGAUAAUUCACCAGGCCCCGACUGCCCUCGCUCCCGGCUUCAGGUUCCACCCGACACACGAGGAACUCGUCAUUUACUACCUCAAGCGCAAGGUCUGUCGCAAACCUUUUGAUUCUCCAUUUUUCUACGGUUCAUGAUCACUCACCUCGAGUACAAACUCCGCUGCUCAAGCUCUCACUUCGGCGAUCUCUCUGGUGAGCUUCACUAGUAUGCGAAGCUUUUUGAAGCUGAAACUUCGAGCUUUCAGAUAGAUUCAGUGCGGCGGAUGAAGAUGUUGAGGUACACUGUUUUGCUCGGUUUGUUUCUUCUUCUGGUGGCAGGCCAAACGAUGUUGCAUUUGGGCUUCGGUCCACACAUUGCAGACGUCAACAUUCUGCUGCCUCUCAGAAUGACUCAUCCGGUCGAGUAUCAGCUCUAGGGGUGAUGAUUGCUUCAAAUGGGUAUAGAUGGAGGAAGUAUGGUAAAAAAAGCAGUGAAGGUAAAACAGGUUCCUUUAAACACACAGCUGGAAAGUGGUCUAGCACCACAAUGAUAAAGGAAUUCAGACAUAAUGAUGCCAAGCUGUUUGCCAUCCCAUUACAAGGUCCCAACACCAACCAGGCUGAAAGCAAAAGAAAAAAUAAAAGAAAAAGCAGUAAGCAUGACUGCCUAUUAAGUGCAGCAGAGAAAAGAAAAACGGGGAAGAAGAUAAAGGAAAAGCAGACGGGGUGAUGCCAUGAUUAUGGCCACGACCCAUUGAGCAGGCUCUCCCCCCCCCCCGCGGCAACUACCAGCUGCACAUGCUAUCCAACCAGCGGCAACUACCAGCUGCACAUGCUAUCCAACCAUCUGUCAUACCCACUUUCAGUAGCUUUAUUUUUUAAUGAUGUAAUUUAUUUUUCUUAUCUUUCAGAGACAUCUGUAUAAACCCCAUCAGAGGGUAAUAAAA